rnacentral:rRNA from 1 species
AUUGAACGCUGGCGGCAGGCCUAACACAUGCAAGUCGAGCGGAGCGGCGGACGGGUGAGUAAUGCCUAGGAAUCUGCCUGGUAGUUGGGGAUAACGUCCGGAAACGGGCGCUAAUACCGCAUACUAUCAGAUGAGCCUAGGUCGGAUUAGCUAGUUUGUGGGGUAAAGGCCUACCAAGGCGACGAUCCGUAACUGGUCUGAGAGGAUGAUCAGUCACACUGGAACUGAGACACGGUCCAGACUCCUGCGGGAGGCGGCAGUGGGGAAUAUUGGACAAUGGACGAAAGCCUGAUCCAGCCAUGCCGCGUGUGUGAAGAAGGUCUUCGGAUUGUAAAGGACUUUAAGUUGGGAGGCGUUACCCGCAGAAGAAGCACCGGCUAACUCCGUGCCAGCAGCCGCGGUAAUAC